UACGGAGGGUGCAAGCGUUAUCCGGAUUCACUGGGUUUAAAGGGUGCGUAGGUGGGCUAGUAAGUCCGUGGUGAAAUCUCUGAGCUUAACUCGGAAACUGCCGUGGAUACUAUUAGUCUUGAAUAUUGUGGAGGUAAGCGGAAUAUGUCAUGUAGCGGUGAAAUGCUUAGAUAUGACAUAGAACACCAAUUGCGAAGGCAGCUGACUACAGGGGCAUUGACACUGAGGCACGAAAGCGUGGGGAUCAAACAGG
rnacentral:rRNA from 1 species